ACGUCUCGCUCCGGGGCGGAAAGUGGGUCAGGGCCGGGCCGGCGGAGCGCGCAGCGGGGGCUACAGAUUCUUUCCACCAUGGCCAGACGCCCCCGGAACAGCAGGGCCUGGCACUUCGUCCUGAGUGCAGCCCGCCGAGACGCAGAUGCCCGGGCCGUGGCUCUAGCAGGCUCCACCAACUGGGGCUACGACUCUGAUGGGCAGGUAGGUCCCAGCGGGCGAGGCGGACGUGGCUGGCCUAAGGUGUGGAGAUGCCCUAGGCAGGCAGGCAGGCAUUACCUGAACAGGGAAUCAGUCGGAGGGAAAGAUGCUUCUGAGGCCAGAGGCCCAGUCCAACCCUGGGCCUGUCUCCUGGAUGCACCACAUUCUGUAAGACUCUUUAAUUUGGCAGAGGACACACACAGCCUCAGGGGUGACAGGACCUCAGAACACACUGCAUAUUUCACUGUGCUUUCUCCUCUGAAACACAUGGUAUGGAGAGGUUCACAGUUGUUUUGGUUCAUUCAACAGAAAUUCU
rnacentral:sRNA from 1 species